rnacentral:ncRNA from 1 species
GAAAGCGGUAUGCGGUGAAAGUCGCACGUACCGUUUGGGCAAUGUCGUCAACUUAAGUAAUUUGUAAAUAUAAAUCACGAUUAUUU